GCGAACGCUGGCGGCGUGCUUAACACAUGCAAGUCGAGCGAGAAGAGGGCUUCGGCCCUUGAGUACAGCGGCGAACGGGUGCGUAACACGUGGGUAAUCUGUCCUUGAGGUGGGAAUAACCCAGCGAAAGUUUGGGCUAUACCGAUAAGACCACGGGAGUCUGCUCCCUGGGGUCAAAGGGCGCUUCCUCUGGGGGCGCUCCUUCGAGGAGGAGCCCGCGGCCUAUCAGCUAGUUGGUAGGGUCCACGGCCUACCAAGGCAGCGACGGGUAGCUGGUCUGAGAGGAUGGCCAGCCACACGGGGACUGAGACACGGCCCCGACUCCUACGGGAGGCAGCAGUGGGGAAUAUUGGCAAUUGGCGCAAGCCUGACCCAGCGACGCCGCGUGGGUGAUGAAGGCCUUUCGGGUCAUAAGCCCUGUCGGGAGGAACGAAUGGGCUGAGCACGAACAGUGCUGAGCCGGACGGUACCUCCGAAGGAAGCACCGGCCAACUCCGUGCCAGCAGCCGCGGUAAGACGGAGGGUGCCAAGCGUUGCUCGGAAUCAUUGGGCGUAAAGGGUGCGUAGGCGGCUUCUCAAGUCUAGCGUGAAAGCCCAGGGCUCAGCUCUGGAAGGGCGCUAGAACUGCGGGAGCUAGAGUGCCGGAGGUGGAGAGUUGGAAUUCCGGUGUAGCGGUGAAAUGCGUAGAUAUCGGGAGGAAUACCGUGUGGCGAAAGCGACUCUCUGGACGGUGACUGACGCUGAGGCACGAAAGCGUGGGGAGCAAACAGGAUUAGAUACCCUGGGUAGUCCACGCCGUAAACGAUGGGCCUAGGUGUCGGGGGUAUCCCACUCCCUCGGUGCCGCCGCUAACGCAUUAAGUGCCCCGCCUGGGAAGUACGGCCGCAAGGUUAAACUCAUAAGGAAGUUGACGGGGGCCCGCACAAGCGGGUGGAGCAUGUGGUUCAAUUCGAUGCAACGCGAAGAACCUUACCUGGGUUGACAUCUGUGCGAAUCCUCACGAAAGUGAGGGGUGCCCGCAAGGGAGCGCCAAGACAGGUGCUGCAUGCUGUCGUCAGCUCGUGCCGUGAGGUGUUGGGUUAAGUCCCGCAGCGAGCGCAACCCCUGCCCUUAGUUGCCCCCGGGUGACGCCGUUGCACUUAAGGGACUGCCGUGUUAAGCGGGAGGAAGGUGGGGACGACGUCAAGUCAUCAUGGCCUUAUAUCCCAGGGCUACAACACGGGCUACAAUGGGGGGUACAGAGCGUUGCCAAACGAGUGAGCUGGAAGCUAAUCGCAAAAAACCCCUCCUCAGUUCGGAGAUCGUAGUCUGGCAAUUCGACUGGCGUGAAGCUGGAAUCGCUAGUAAUCGCGGAUCAGCAUGCCGGCGGUGAAUACGUUCCCGGGCCUUGUACACACCGCCCGUCACACCAUGGGAGUCGGUUGUACCGGAAGUGAGUGAGCGACCCGCGGAGGGACGCAGCUCCCCAGGGUACGACUGGGUAACCGGGGUG
rnacentral:rRNA from 1 species